UACAUAUAUAUACAUACUUCAUUGAAGCUACGUUCGCCGCGCAUGCACGAAAAAAAUCCGGUGCGCGCGACAAAAAGUUAUGCAGUGGCAUUUGUUUUCGGCUUACAUCGAUUUUGCUUUAGGUAAGUAAGAAAUCUUCGAUGUAAUUUAUACGACAUAAAUGUGUAGAAUAGGUUAUUUUUUGAAUGUAUAAUCACCAAGAGUAUAUCUUUUCAGUUUCUUUCCUCACAUAUACAUAUAUUUGAGUUAUGAAUUAUCAUAAUUUAAUAAAUGCAAUCGUUGUAUUAAAGUCAAUUAACCUAUACAUAUUACAUUUGACAAAAUAAUUAUUUCAAUAUUUCAUAAUUAAUUUAUUUUAUCAUUAUAUGAUUAAUUAUUUCGUGUAUAGAUAAUGGACGACCAAAGAUAUAUGGUGUGCGAGUUUCCAAAUGAAGAAGAUAGCAUAUCUAUUGGAUAUUUAGAAUGGCUGGAAAAUAAAUUCACAAACAUUGAAUUAGAUGAUGUAAUUAAACGCGGGACGAUAGUGAAAGUUCGAUGGCCAAAAGACUGUGAUGUGGGCCCUGUAGCAACAACAAUGAAAAAAAAAUUGGCCAAUUGUCAAUGGGAGGUGGUUGCAACAAAAUUACGGGCAUAUGGAGGAUGGAUUAAAAUGUGUGAGAUCAGAGACAAUUUAGAAAAGUAUGGUAUCACUGAACUUGACAGAAGUAAUAGAAAAAGUUCACGAGUAAAAAUAACCAUACAGAAUGUGAUAGUAAUGAUGAAUCAGGAGUAAAAGAAACAAAAAAGGAUGCGAAACAAAAGAAAUGUAUUCUAAAUGUAAAAAAAGGAAAAGAACUUUUAAAACAAUACAAACACAAAAAGCAGAAAUAUUCGUCACAGAAUAAAUCGAUAGAUAUCAGCGACGACGAAUCUGGUGAAGAAAACGAAAAAUCUCUCAUUCAUAAACAAUCAAAGUCACAAUUAAAAGAUACAGUCAUUGUA